GCUCCCUCUCCGGAAUCGAACCCUAAUUCUCCGUCACCCGUCACCACCAUGGUAGGCCCCUAUCCUACCAUCGAAAGUUGAUAGGGCAGAAAUUUGAAUGAUGCGUCGCCGGCACGAGGGCCGUGCGAUCCGUCGAGUUAUCAUGAAUCAUCGGAUUAGCGAGCAAAGCCCGCGUCAACCUUUUAUCUAAUAAAUGCGCCCCUCCCAGAAGUCGUUGCACGUAUUAGCUCUAGAAUUACUACGGUUAUCCGAGUAGCACGUACCAUCAAACAAACUAUAACUGAUUUAAUGAGCCAUUCGCGGUUUCACGGUUCAAAUUAGUUCAUACUUGCACAUGCAUGGCUUAAUCUUUGAGACAAGCAUAUGACUAGUGGCAGGAUCAACCAGGUAGCACGUCCUAGUCGACAAGCCGUCACCGAGAGUCGCACGUGCCAGCCACUUGCAUGCCAUGGCAACGGCAAAAAACAGAGCGGCCGUCGUCCUUUGAGUGAGCUUCAGAAAGGGACGCGACGCCAAAGGGCCACGAGCCUCUACAAUGAGUGACAUCCAAGACCAAGAGCCUCUACAAUGAGCGACAUCCAAGACCCCGAAUCUGACAGAUAUGGCGCACUGUCGGCCAGCGCGGCUUUUCAACGUGGCCAUGGCCCAUGGCCACCUCCAUUCGCACCUGGACUCCCAGCAGCAGUUCCAAGCCACCGGCCACGAUGUCUGGUCCCACGCUCGCCGAUUUCGUCUCGCUCGAGAAGGACGGUGCCGCCCGCUCCGUCGCAGACGCGACCACCUCCAAAUCCCUCGUGGCGCUCGACGCUCGCGACCCGCCGUCCCCUUGCGCCUCGCCGAGCCCUCCGAAACGCUCUCCCCCACCAUCCCAGAGGCCGAAUCCGUCGCGAAUCAGGGAGCUCUUCGUCGGAUCAGAGAGCACCUUGUACGCGUGAUUGACGAGGCGGAGCGCCAAAUCAGUGCUGGGCUAGGCUCGCGCGGGUCAGAGCGGACACGGCGGCGGCGUGCGCGGGUCUCAGAGCGAAGGCGACGGCGGCACGGCAGGUCAGAACGGAGGCGGCGGCGGCGCGACGGGUCAGAGCGGAGGCGGGAGCGGCGCGCGUGGGUCAUAGCGGCGGCGGCGGCCCGUGCGGGCGACGGCAGAGCAGUGCAGGAGUUGGGAAGACGAGAGGCGCGAGGGAGCUCCGGUAUCCAAGGCGUCAAGGCGAUGGCGGCGUUCGGUCUGCGGCGAAGGGACGGAGCUCGUGCGGUCGGCGCGAGGAAAGGGAGGUCUCGGAAGAGGCUGUCGUCGGCAGCAAGCGCUUAGUGACGGACGACGUCGUGGCGGGGAAACUCCGAGGCGAUGCUGCUUCGGGUGAGGGCACCGACGGCGGCGCGAAGGCGGGGCGCUGCUCCUGGAGGCGACUCGGGGAGUGGGGAGGAAGUCUGAACCUCGAAGGUGAUGGGGAGGGAAGUGGGCAGCGAUUUCUCCACCACCACAAAGCGCAUCUCCUAAUUCCGUCGAACCAAAUCGGCAGCAUAGCUUCCCACCAUCCAAGUCCGGCCGCGGCAUAGGGAGGGUGAGAUCCGGGCAGGCCGUCCCGGCGUGCACGGCUUGAUGCUCUCAGUCGUGGCAUCGCCUGUUCCCCCUAACAGCACGGCAGGGCGGAGCAGUGCAGCAGCAGGAGGGGGCUGGAGCGGCGGGAGGCGAGGGCGGCCGUGCGCGCGGGCCUGCAGAGCGGGGGCCGCAUGAUUGGGCGUGCGGAGGCGAAGGCGGCUCGAGCGGAGGAGACGACUCGGUCCGAGUCAAAUAGCCCACCAGACAUGUGGUCCCGCCUCGUCAGAUUCGGGGUUAGACGUUAAGAGCGAGCAGCUAAUUAAAUCAGGUGAUUUUAGUAACAAAAGGUAUACUGGUAUACCUACGUGAAACUCUAGCCUUAAAUCAGGUGAUUUUAGUAGCAAUGUGAUGGUUUUUCGGUUUUCUAAAUUUAUUUACUCAAGAAAAGAAAACAAAGUUUUUUAAAUUUAUUUACUCAAGAAAAGAAAACAAAGUACUACAACGACUUCGUUGAUGCUAAAUUAAUUGUGAUUGUACUAUUCUUGUCUACAUCCACGAAGGAUAUGCCACACUAAGAUUGUUUCUUGGAGUAUUCUUUUCUUAAAGCCCUGUGGAAAAAUUGGAGCACGGCUCCUUUGCCUUUCACGCAGAAAGACGACAUUUGUUGAUAAGUUUGAGGUUUUUGACAUCUUCCGUCUAAAAACGACUUGUUUACAAAUAUUACUCUCUUCUAGGAGGUAAAGCUCCUAUCACUUGCUCGAAAGAAAACUAUAACAACGAAUAUCUGAUUUAAUUUUUUUUUCACCAAUCAACCCGUCUGCAAGAACAAAUUGACACACCGUGCCUUGUUCCAUAUUCAUGUGUCCGAUGAAGAGGGCGAUGCAUAGAGGUGUGUUCUUAAAGGGUUUCCUCCGUCGAAGUUUUAUCCUGCAACCGUCGUUUGCCAUCACCAAUUUUGCGUGAGGUUCAUGAGGAAAAGUGGGAGUGGAAGCGGAAACAAAGACCUUCGUACAAACAAGGGUCGCAGGAGAAAUGUCCCUUCAUGCAAAUACUUCCUCCAUGAACAAAAGGGAGAAAUUUUUAAAUGAGGUUUUUUCUUUUCGAGGAAGUUAAAAGAGGUACAUUGUGUAGGUUGUUCUUUAAAUUUAUAUGUUCGCACAUAUACUCAGUGGCCAAAUCGCAACCAGUGAGAUGCUGAAGUCUGCAACUUGAGCGAGUACCGGAAUUAGUGAAACCAAACCAAACAAGCACCUGCACCGGACCGCUCUUAUUGCAUCGCAUGAGACAGACAACAACCGCUGCUGCUGCUGCUGGCUGAUGCACCAACAUCAGCAGCAUAUCUGGCUCAAAAAAAUAUCUCCAAACUGCCAAAACCAGGCCAGAUGCCGCUGGCUGAUGCACCAACAUCAGCGGCAUAUCCAGCUCGAACAAAUCUCUCCAGAGUCCCCAAACCAGACCAGAUCAGACCAAACUCAAGCUGGACUGGGAAAUUUCGCCAGCAGAAAUAUACUACCGUUUGCACGGCAAAAAAAAAUGAUACGAUAACACGGCAGCAGCAGCAGGAAACAGCUUCAUGCAUGCCUGCUUGCCGCCAGAGUGAAGGAACAUCAUCCAUCAGACAACCAAGGUAUGCUCUAACAUGCCGGUCACAGACCCAACAAUGCAUAAUUGAAAACAAGGUAAACCAAACUAAGCAGGUGCAGCAACAGCACAUCAGCUAUGUAUAGUUUGUACCACCGCAUGUCAAGAGUAAGAGUCACAUGCAUGUACAGGUAAUGUAAACCAACAAGUCAAUACAAGCCAGAUUUUCAAGAUGCGCAAAAAAAAUAGAGGUUUAGGUAGGCAGUUGCUGCACACGGACCAAGUAGUAACAACGUGCAAAUCGGUUCUCGCUGCUGUUCACCGUUGUCGCUGUCGUCGGACAGGCACAUGACUGGUGGAUGGUCCCUGGCCUGUGCCUGCAGAACUGCUAGUCAUACCCAGCCUAGCUGGCAGAUGC
rnacentral:lncRNA from 1 species